rnacentral:sRNA from 1 species
UAUUUGAACCCCAAGAAGAGACGCAAAAAGAACAUACGAAUCCCGUAUGUUCUUUUUGCGUCUCUUUGAUUA